UACAGAGGUCUCAAGCGUUGUUCGGAUUCAUUGGGCGUAAAGGGUGCGUAGGCGGCGCGGUAAGUCGGGUGUGAAAUCUUGGAGCUUAACUCCGAAACUGCAUUCGAUACUGCCGUGCUUGAGGACUGGAGAGGAGACUGGAAUUUACGGUGUGGCGGUGAAAUGCGUAGAUAUCGUAAGGAAGACCAGUGGCGAAGGCGGGUCUCUGGACAGUUCCUGACGCUGAGGCACGAAGGCCAGGGGGAGCAAACGGG
rnacentral:rRNA from 1 species